rnacentral:rRNA from 1 species
GCAUUUCUUUAAGAUAAUAUUUAAGGUAGUCUCUGCCCUAUGAUUUUUAAACGUUAAAUGGCUGCAGUAUUCUGACUGUGCAAAGGUAGCAUAAUAAAUAGUCUUUUAAUUGGGGACUGGUAUGAAUGAGUUAAUGAGAAAUUAAUUUUAUUUAUAAUAAAAAUUUAAUUUUAUUUUUAAGUUAAAAAGCUUAAUUUUUUUUUUGGGACGAUAAGACCCUAUAGAACUUUAUAAUUUUAUAAUGUUUUUCUCUUUGGAAAUUUUUUAUUAUUAUUUCUAAAAUUAUUUUGCUGGGGCGGCGGAUAAAUUUAAACUUUAUUUUAAAAUUUCAAUAAUUUUUGAUUUCUUGGUCCAUUAUUUGAUCAAAAGAAAAAGUUACCUUAGGGAUAACAGCGUAAUUUUAAUGGAAAGUUCAUAUUUAUAUUAAAGUUUGCGACCUCGAUGUUGAAUUAAGAUAAUGCUAAGGGGUAGUUUUUUUAGUUUUAAGUCUGUUCGACUUUUAAAUUCUUACAUGAUCUG